GGAUGUGACGGUGGUCUGGCUGCAACAUUUGUCCCCCAUUGAUCACUAGGCUUGAUUUGGCUGAUCUGGCUGGGUAGGCAGGUGUUCCCUGCUUCCUUUACCGCUUCAUGUGCAUCCCUCCUGAAGCUGUGAUGGUGGUAGAAGAAGAUGACCUUUUCUGAUAGAGGAGGACCAUUUCCUAAGCCAAGGGCAUAUGAGUAACUGUGCUCUCUUGCCAGAAUCUCCAAACAAACUCUUAAGUUUAGUAGCUCAGAUGCUCUCUUAAUAGGGAAGAUGAAAGUGAGAGAUGUACGGCAGUUUUAGAUGAAGAGCAAAUGAUUUU
rnacentral:snRNA from 1 species